AAAAAACAGAGGCAGCAACACUCAAAAUACAUUAGCUACUGUUUUAUUGGAUGAACAACCUUGUGCCAGAGAAAGUACAACUCCACCUGAAGCAAAAAACUCAUGGGAUGACCUUACAACUCUACUUGAAAGAAACAACUCAUGGGGUGACCUUACAUCUUUUCCGGAAGCAAAAAACUCAUGGGAUGACCAUACAACUCUACAGGAAGGAAACAGCUCAUGGGGUGACUUUACAACUCUAUCUGAAGCAAAAAACUCAUGGGAUGACCUUACAACUCUACAGGAAGGAAACAACUCAUGCUGUGACC
rnacentral:lncRNA from 1 species